AACGAACGCUGGCGGCAGGCCUAACACAUGCAAGUCGAACGCCCUAGCAAUAGGGAGUGGCGCACGGGUGAGUAACGCGUGGGAACGUGCCUUUCAGUCUGGAAUAACUGCGGGAAACUGCAGCUAAUACCGGAUAUUCUCUACGGAGGAAAGAUUUAUCGCUGAAAGAUCGGCCCGCGUUAGAUUAGGUAGUUGGUGGGGUAAUGGCCUACCAAGCCUACGAUCUAUAGCUGGUCUGAGAGGAUGAUCAGCCACACUGGAACGGAGACACGGUCCAGACUCCUACGGGAGGCAGCAGUGGGGAAUAUUGGACAAUGGGUGCAAGCCUGAUCCAGCCAUGCCGCGUGAGUGACGAAGGCCUUAGGGUUGUAAAGCUCUUUUGUCAGGGAAGAUAAUGACGGUACCUGAGGAAUAAGACACGGCUAACUUCGUGCCAGCCGCCGCCGUAA
rnacentral:rRNA from 1 species